GCUUGUCUGCGGGUUCCUGCGGGCGUUCCUCAGUGUCUGCCUUCUUCCUUCCCUCUUGAGUGUUGCUCCUCUUCCUCUCCUUUUUUCCAUGUCUCUCCUUUUUCUGAUCUCCUCCCGUUUCGGCAGCCCGAGCGCUCUUGCCCGGUUGCACCCCGCAGCCUGAGCUGGGCUCCCGGUGCCGGCUGCCUGAGCUCCAGGACCUGCCCUGGGGCCCCCUACAACCUUCCCGCCGCUCCCGGAACCUGACCCCUCUGUGCUUCACUUCUCGGUUUUCUUCCCUGAAAUAAGCAGCAGCGAAUCCCUUCUCCAGGUUUUUAAAACAGAAAAUUAGCAGGAACGCCCAGAUCGACCCAGACCUAGGAUCAAGAUGGAGUUUCUUAAAGUACCAAGUGAGACUGCAGUGACAAAGUCGAUUAUCCCAGCAAUAUAAUCAGCUUUGCCUGGGGAAUUUACUUUUACUUUGUUUUUAUUUGUUUGUUUGCUUUGAGAUGGAGUCUCGCUCUGUCGCCCAGGCUAGAGUGCAGUGGCGCGAUCUCAGCUCACUGCAACCUCCGUCUCCUGGGUUCAAGCAAUUCUCCUGCCUCAGCCUCCCAAAUAGCUGGGAGUACAGGCGCCCACCACCAUGCCCAGCUAAUUUUUGCAUUUUUAGUAGAGACGGGGUUUCUCCAUGUUGGUCAGGCUGGUCUCGAAUUCCUGACCUCAGGUGAUCCGCCCGCUUCGACCUCCCAAAGUGCUGGGAUUACAGGCGUGAGCCACUGCGCCCGGCCUACUUUUAGUUUAUGCAGUAUUCUGGCGAUUUAAAGUUUGUAUUUUUUUUUUAAUUUUCUGAGCUCGUUUUGUAAAUGGCUGCUCUUGAACGUAAGGAUAAAUUGACUGAUGAGGCUGAGGUUUGGAGCCAAUCCCCGCACAAGGCAUUUGGCAUCAAACACGAGAAACCCUUGGCUAUUCAAAUGAGGAAACUCAAGUAACUUUCCCAGGGUCACUAAAGUCGGAGACCUCAAACGUGGACCCAGGUCAGGCUCCAGAGGUCCACCAGGACGACCCAUCAUGGCUCAUGAAUGUAUCCGUAAAAAUGGCAGAACUGCUCUUUCCAGCUGCCUUCCUACCUAUCAUGGGGGUCCUAACCGAGCUCCCCAUCAUGACAUUCAAGGCCUACCUUAUAGGAUCCCUGCCUUACAGGAGCAGUUUCAGUGCAGCAGGCACACUGACCACCUUUCUGCCAAGACCUUUUUGCCAGAGGGCCUUUGCACUUGAAUUUCUUUAGACUUUUCGCCUGGCUUAGCUCGUCUGUCACCUUGGGGAGGCAUUUUUCUUUCUUUCUUUGUUUCUUUCUCCUUUUUUUUUUUUUGAAACGGAGUCUUGCCCUGUCGCCCAGGCUGGAGUGCAAUGGUGCGAUUUCAGCUCACUGCAACCUCCGCCUUCCAGGUUUAAGCGAUUCUCCUGCCUCAGCCUCCUGAGUAGCUGUGAUUACAGGCACGUGCCACCAACCCUGGCUAAUUUUUGUAUUUUUAGUAGAGAUGGGGUUUCACGAUGUUGGCCAGGCUGGUCUCAAACUCCUUCACCUCAGCUUACAGAUGUGAGCUGCUGGACACAGG
rnacentral:lncRNA from 10 species